CUACAACAAAGAGAACCGUACACCAACACAACCCGAGAGGGUUCACUGCAAGAUGCAAACCACGGGGCACACAAAACGGUGUGGGCACAAGUGAACCCGUGAACUCUCGAGACCACAGCCAAGACAUUUUCCCACGUGAAAAAAGCUCUGACCUCAGUAGAGUCAUUCUGUCUUCUCAGGAAUCGCUCGUCUCUAAAUGCAUUUCGUUUGCUGUGUUCCUGCUUGCCUUCUGAAUGCUCUGGGUUAAGAAUCAUCACCUGUCUCGCAGCGCUGUCGUCUGCCUUCCUGUUUCUCGUUAUACGUACCACCCGGGCGAAGAGCACGCAAGAGUGCAAUCAAGAUUUGCCGGAUAGGUAUUAUGAAAUGUCUUCCGUCGUACAAACUAUGAUAUGGAAUUAUCCUCGCCAACCCCUUCAUUAUUCUGACCUAAAUAUCAGAUAAGCAUUAACGUCUAAAUAAAUGUCUCCCAAACGGGGGUCAAGUGUUUGUGUUUUAACGGCAGUCUGCAAGAAAUUCUCUCAUUGUUGAGAGACUGGACGAGUCUUAUUGAUUUAUUUUACUGUUGUAGUUUGUUAGUAUGAUUAAAGACAGUACAGUUAAGUUUGCAAUUUCCAUCUUUAUUUGUAACAUUAAGGAGGUCAACAUCUUAAUCAGUACUGACAGAUUCCGAGCAAUUCAGCCAUGUUUGCAAAAUAUACAAUGAAGGAACAAUGAGGAGAGGUUAACAGUGGCAGGAUGCAGUUGGUUCUGUUCUGCAAUGGAGAAAGAUGGGAUUAAGUCAGCCAGGGGUCCCC